AUUGAACGCUGGCGGCAGGCCUAACACAUGCAAGUCGAACGAGUGGCGGACGGGUGAGUAAUGUCUGGGAAACUGCCCGAUGGAGAGGGAUAACUACUGGAAACGGUAGCUAAUACCGCAUACCAUCGGAUGUGCCCAGAUGGGAUUCGCUAGUAGGGGGGGUAACGGCUCACCUCGGCGACGAUCCCUAGCUGGUCUGAGAGGAUGACCAGCCACACUGGAACGGAGACACGGGCCAGACUCCUACGGUAGGCAGCAGUGGGGAAUAUUGGACAAUGGGCGAAAGCCUGAUGCAGCCAUGCCGCGUGGAUGAAGAAGGCCUUCGGGGUGUAAAGUACUUGUAGCGAGAAGGCGUUACUCGCAGAAUAAGCACCGGCUAACUCCGUGCCAGCAGCCGCGGUAAUGC
rnacentral:rRNA from 1 species